AAGGAAGCAAACAUGCAAGGAAGUAAAGUGGAAGGAAAGAGAAGAAGAUCCUCCUUCGAAGCUCUUUUUUCUCUAGCUCCUUCUUUCCUUUCUUCUUUUCUCCCUUUCUUAAUUAUUUC
rnacentral:ribozyme from 1 species